rnacentral:rRNA from 1 species
UACGUAGGGCGCAAGCGUUGUCCGGAUUCACUGGGUGUAAAGGGUGCGCAGGCGGACUGGCAAGUCAGGGGUGAAAUCUCACAGCUCAACUGUGAAACUGCCUUUGAUACUGCUGGUCUUGAGUCAGGGAGAGGUUGAUGGAAUUCCAGGUGUAGCGGUGAAAUGCGUAGAUAUCUGGAGGAACACCGGUGGCGAAGGCGGCAUCCUGGACCAACACUGACGCUGAGUGAGCGAAAGCCAGGGGAGCAAACGGG